UGGGGAAUAUUACGCAAUGGGGGAAACCCUGACGCAGCGACGCCGCGUGCGGGAUGAAGGCCUUCGGGUUGUAAACCGCUUUUGAUUGGGAGCAAGCCUUUUGGGUGAGUGUACCUUUCGAAUAAGCGCCGGCUAACUACGUGCCAGCAGCCGCGGUAAUACGUAGGGCGCAAGCGUUAUCCGGAAUUAUUGGGCGUAAAGGGUGCGUAGGUGGUCUUUCAAGUCGGUGGUUAAAGGCUACGGCUCAACCGUAGUUAGCCUCCGAAACUGGAAGACUUGAGUGCAGGAGAGGAAAGUGGAAUUCCCAGUGUAGCGGUGAAAUGCGUAGAUAUUGGGAGGAACACCAGUAGCGAAGGCGGCUUUCUGGACUGCAACUGACACUGAGGCACGAAAGCGUGGGUAGCAAACAGG
rnacentral:rRNA from 1 species